rnacentral:rRNA from 1 species
CAGUCGCCGCGGGAAUACGUAGGUGGCGAGCGUUGUCCGGAAUCAUUGGGCGUAAAGCGUCUGUAGGUGGCUUUUCAAGUCCGCCGUCAAAUCCCAGGGCUCAACCCUGGAUAGGCGGUGGAAACUACCAAGCUGGAGUACGGUAGGGGCAGAGGGAAUUUCCAGUGGAGCGGUGAAAUGCGUGGAGAUGUGGAGGAACACCGAUGGCGAAGGCAGCCCCCUGGGCCAAUACUGACGCUCAUGCACGAAAGCGUGGGGAGCAAACAGGAUUAGAUACCCGUGUAGUCCCUGUCUCUUAUAC